rnacentral:tRNA from 2 species
GCCGAGGUGGUGAAAUGGUAGACACGCCAGUUUUAGGAACUGGUCCCGCAAGGGAUGGAGGUUCAAGUCCUCUCCUCGGCA